rnacentral:rRNA from 1 species
AAACCAACAGGGAUUGCCUUAGUAGCGGCGAGUGAAGCGGCAAGAGCUCAAAUUUGAAAUCUGGUACCUUCGGUGCCCGAGUUGUAAUUUGAAGAAAGCUGUCUUGGAGUUGGCCUUUGUCUAUGUUCCUUGGAACAGGACGUCACAGAGGGUGAGAAUCCCGUGCGAUGAGGUGUCCAAUUCUUUAUAAGACGUUUUCGAAGAGUCGAGUUGUUUGGGAAUGCAGCUCAAAGUGGGUGGUAAAUUCCAUCUAAAGCUAAAUAUUGGCGAGAGACCGAUAGCGAACAAGUACUGUGAAGGAAAGAUGAAAAGAACUUUGAAAAGAGAGUGAAAAAGUACGUGAAAUUGUUGAAAGGGAAGGGUAUUCAAUCAGACUUGGUAUUUAGUUAUCAUUACUCCUUGUGGGUGGUGCUCUAGCUUUUUACUGGGCCAGCAUCAGUUUUGGUGGCAAGAUAAUCGCAGUUGAAUGUAGCUCCUAGAGUAUUAUAGCAACUGUUGAUAUUGCCUACUGGGACUGAGGUCUGCGGCUUUUGCCUAGGAUGCUGGCGUAAUGAUUGAAUACCGCCCGUCUUG